UGGAGAUUGCAUGGCGGUGUGCUCGAUUUUAUAUACCUGUCAGCUACGGAUGUGGCUGAAAUAGCCGAAUCCACUAAUUUGAAGGGGUGUCCACAUACUUUUUUAUAUAUAUAGUGUACUUACUGUACUGAGGGGUAUUUUAACAAAUCUACAGUAUAAUGUGUUUGUAUUGUUACAUAUUUGGUAUAGGUAUAUGUUAUUUUGGCCAUUGACUGGCAGUGUGGAGUUUGAAGAUAAAAUUUGAGAAAAUGUAGCUUGUUGCUGAAUGCACUUUUAUUAUGGGACAUUUCCAUUCAGACACCAAUGUGGGCUACCUAUUUGAGCCCACAGGUGAAAGGGUGCAGCUUGUGGUGAUUCUGUGGAGAUAACCCCCGUUAGAUGGAGAAAGAAAAAAUGCAAGUGAAGUUGGGUACUCCGGCUGGAGUAUAAUUAGAGAUUGAGAAGGCGGGACUUACGAAAUAUGUGUUAGUAGGCAAGCAUGGGCAUCCCUAGUGGGGAUGCUCCAGUUUAGCAAGAGUUUUUGGUCCUCACUUGCUUUGCAUCUUGUGGCGUGUCUAGAAUAUUAUUCCACCACCACAUUUCUGUCUGAUUAUGCACUUGGCGUUGGCCCACAUGCCCAAAGAGGGGUGCACAGUGUGAUCUUUUGACUUUUCCUUUCAUUUUAAUGCCUGCAAAAUGUUACACAUUUGUAUUGCUUGAGAAACGUUGCACACGAUUUUAAGAGGUUGUAUAAUUGUACGGAGUCAGUAUUUUUAUGGUUGAUUUGACAAAACGCUCCACCGAAAAAUGGACAGUUCUAUAAAAAAAAGUACACCGUUCUCGUUUAAGACAAGGUAAAAAUAAAAAGGUCCACUGUUCUUGUUUAAGAUAAGGUAAAAAGGUCUAAAAAAAAGUACACCGUUCUCGUUUAAGAUAAGGCAAAAAGGUAAACAACAACAAAAAGUUGAGGGAUGUUCCAUUUUCCUGUAAAUUGUACCCCUAUUUAUUUGCCUUACUUAGUUUGCUAUAUUUUGUAUGUAUAUGCAGCAUAACAAAAUGUUAUAAUAAAAAUAUAUAAAUAAUUA